CCCGAGGCCCCUGAGCUGGCAUUUUCAUGGAAGAGGCUUCCAGGGACAGCCACCCUCCCCCUUCCUGCGUGUUCUCGGGCAAGCCAGAACCCUCCGCUCACAACAGGAAACCAAUAGCUCUGUGCUAUCAGAAGACAUUUCCUUCACGGCACAGAGCGUCUGAGUAAUGAUUUCGAGCCGGCUUCACCCAUUUCCGGUGGAAGGAGGCAAGUGGCCGGUCCCCGCCCCUGCACGGCCCUCUCCGAGCCCCGCCGCCCAGCAGCCUCCGGCUGGAAGACGGGCCUCUCUUCCCUUUGCCGUCCCGGCCCGGCACCCCGAGUAGCAGAUUCACUCGGAGGGGCUUUCCCGCGUCUACGCAGAACGCCGUCACCGUGACUGGCUCGUACUCUCAUCUGCAUGCCGUUCACAGGUGGCUUUGACGGCCAAAAGGCGGGUCGAGAAGGUCACACCUUUUUGGAAGGUCAGGUCCCAACGGGCAGAUGCUGGGGGCCGGGGGAAGUCUGUGGGCCUGAGUCCCACGCCGACUUGGGAAAGACGGCCGUGAGGCUGCAGGAUAGAGGAGAGCUUUUCUGACCACGUGGCCCACCCCGCCGUCUCAGGGCAGACGUGAGGGCCCCGGGGACAGAUGCCACCAGAUAAUCUGAGACUCCUCAAAGGGAAGAGUCUAGUCCUCCCUAGUAAUCACAGCCCAUCUCUUAGUAAUAAGUGUGGGAGAGUCAAGGGACAUUCUUGUCCGAUCGCCCCCAUCUUACAAACGGGACCGCUGGGGUCUGAAAAGGUGAAUAAUGAAUUCGGGUUUCCUCAUUUUCAGGACUCUGUCCCUCAGAAGGAUGAGCAUUUUGAAUCCCUUUCUUCGAGUGCUGUCUUGCAAACUUAUGUGGAUUUUGGGGCUCAUCUACAAGGCUGCAGGCCUCCCAGCAUCCGGAGAGAAUUUAGACCAACCUCUUUCUUGGGGCAUCGAAGGAGAGCACGGCCCUGGGCUUCUUGGAGCAGUUCCAGCUGGAGGUGGGGAAAGUGCCCGUCCUGGCCUUACAGCCGUGCUCAGGCUUCGCCGAUGGGGCUCAGGCUGGAGGGACCGAGCAUCAAACAGGGGAAACCAGCAAGGACGCGGAGCCAGCGGAGGUCGGUUGAGUUAAAGAAGGCACACUGAGGGGCCCCUGGGUGGCUCCGUCGGUGAAGCGUCCGACUUCGGCUCGGGUCACGAUCUCGCGGUUCCUGGGUUCGAGCCCCGCGUCGGGCUCUGUGCUGACAGCACAGAUUCUGGGUCUCCCUCUCUCUCUGCCCCUCCCCUACUCACGCUCUCUCUCUCUCUCUCCUUCAAAAAUAAAUAAACAUUAAAAAAAAUUAAAAAAGUGAAA
rnacentral:lncRNA from 1 species